rnacentral:rRNA from 1 species
AGAAACUAACAAGGAUUCCCCUAGUAACGGCGAGUGAGCGGGAUGAGCUCAAAUUUAAAAUCUGGCGGCCUCAGGUCGUCCGAGUUGUAGUCUAGAGAAUCGUUUUCCGCGUUGGCCUGUGUACAAGUCCCUUGGAACAGGGCGUCAUAGAGGGUGAGAAUCCCGUCCUUGACACAGAUUACCAAUGCUUUGUGAUGCGAUCUCGAAGAGUCGAGUUGUUUGGGAAUGCAGCUCAAAAUGGGUGGUAAAUUCCAUCUAAAGCUAAAUAUUGGCGAGAGACCGAUAGCGAACAAGUACCGUGAGGGAAAGAUGAAAAGCACUUUGGAAAGAGAGUUAAACAGUACGUGAAAUUGUUAAAAGGGAAACGAUUGAAGUCAGUCAUGCUUUCCGAGACUCAGCCGAUUCUGUCGGUGUACUUCUCGGUUGGCAGGCCAGCAUCAGUUUCGAUCUGUGGAAAAGGUUGGAGGGAACGUGGCAUCUUCGGAUGUGUUAUAGCCCUUCUUCGAAUACAUAGAGCGGGACUGAGGAACGCAGCGCGCCUUUUAUUAGGUUGGCCCUCGGGUACAUACGCGCUUAGGAUGCUGGCAUAAUGGCUUUAAACGACCC